rnacentral:rRNA from 1 species
CAGUCGCCGCGGGAAUACGUAGGGUGCGAGCGUUAAUCGGAAUUACUGGGCGUAAAGCGUGCGCAGGCGGUUCGUUAAGACAGAUGUGAAAUCCCCGGGCUUAACCUGGGAACUGCAUUUGUGACUGGCGAGCUAGAGUAUGGCAGAGGGGGGUAGAAUUCCACGUGUAGCAGUGAAAUGCGUAGAGAUGUGGAGGAAUACCGAUGGCGAAGGCGGCUCACUGGCUCAUUCUAGACGCUGAGGUGCGAAAGCGUGGGGAGCAAACAGGAUUAGAUACCCGAGUAGUCCCUGUCUCUUAUAC